rnacentral:rRNA from 1 species
GACGAACGCUGGCGGCGCGCUUAACACAUGCAAGUCGAGCGAGAACCAGGGCUUCGGCCCUGGGGACAGCGGCGAACGGGUGAGUAACACGUGGGUAAUCCACCCUCGGCACCGGAAUAGCCCGGGGAAACCCGGAUUAAUGCCGGAUGGCCCGCCGGCCCUGCGGGGCUGGCGGAAAAGGUAGCUUCGGCCUCCGGUCGAGGACGAGCCCGCGACGGAUUAGCUUGUUGGUGGGGUAACGGCCUACCAAGGCUGCGAUCCGUAGCUGGUCUGAGAGGACGAUCAGCCACACUGGGACGGAGACACGGCCCAGACUCCUACGGGAGGCAGCAGUGGGGAAUCUUGCGCAAUGGGCGAAAGCCUGAUGCAGCGACGCCGCGUGAGGGAAGAAGGCCUUCGGGUUGUAAACCUCUUUCAGGAGGGACGAAGCCACUCGGGUUAAUAGCCCAGAGGGUGACGGUACCUCCAGAAGAAGCCCCGGCUAACUACGUGCCAGCCGCCGCCGUAACAC